AUUGAACGCUGGCGGCAGGCCUAACACAUGCAAGUCGAGCGGAUGAGUGGAGCUUGCUCCAUGAUUCAGCGGCGGACGGGUGAGUAAUGCCUAGGAAUCUGCCCUGGUAGUGGGGGGACAACGUUUCGAAAGGAACGCUAAUACCGCAUACGUCCUACGGGAGAAAGCAGGGGACCUUCGGGCCUUGCGCUAUCAGAUGAGCCUAGGUCGGAUUAGCUAGUAGGUGAGGUAAUGGCUCACCUAGGCGACGAUCUGUAGCUGGUCUGAGAGGACGACCAGCCACACUGGAAUUGAGACACGGUCCAGACUCCUACGGGAGGCAGCAGUGGGGAAUUUUGGACAAUGGACGCAAGUCUGAUCCAGCCAUUCCGCGUGCAGGAUGAAGGCCCUCGGGUUGUAAACUGCUUUUGUACGGAACGAAAGGUUUGUCUUAAUACGAUGAGCUCAUGACGGUACCGUAAGAAUAAAGCACCGGCUAACUACGUGCCAG
rnacentral:rRNA from 1 species